AGUAGCACACCUCUAUAGCCUCUGCAGCAGCUCCUGCCUCCAGGAUCUUGUCCUGUUUGAGUUUCCGUCCUGACUUCCUUCAUUGAUGAACAGCCAUGUGGAGGUAUGGCUGUAUCUGUGAGUGUGGCUUCUUCCAUGAAUACUGAAGGUUGGCUGUAUAUAGAAUCAGCUUCUAGAAGCUGCCAGGCAUUUCUAGAGCAUCUGGAAGGUUUAGAGAAGUACUGGACAGACGGUUAUCUUCUGGGCUGCCACCACGAGGACACCAACACCAACACAGACACGAUCAGCACAAGUCUUCCUCAUGGAGUGAUGGCAACUGAAUUUCAUCCCGUGCAGUGCAGUUUACACGGGACAGUGGCGGCCUGCUUCCUUCCAGGUGGUCCUCUCUUCAUUUGUAUGAAAUGGACACGGCUGUCCUGACUCAAACCAGCUCUGGCCCCAGCUUUCCUCGUCCCAGUUCUGGAGGAAGGUAUCUUCAGGGACUCCUUUCUGGCUCUUUCCAUGAGACCCACCGCACACAGAAUAGAUGUUCUUACUGCCCAUCAUGACCUGAAUCUGGCAAGGGAAAAUUCCUUCUCUUGGUGACAUUAUUUGUUUAUUCUCUUCACAAAAGGCCACCACUAAAAGGGCUAAAGAUUAUGAAAAAAAUGGUGCCCUGUCCCUCUGUUGGAAAUGCUGUGAUCUUGAGCCCAUUUGAUAAAAGAGGAUGUCAGUAGAGGGGGAGAAAGGGAGACAGAAGAGCAGAGCUCUGAAUUUAGAAACCUCGCUGUGCUCUCUGGAUCUGAUUUGGCCUAAGAACGCAUCAGAUAAAAAUAACAAGUGGCGCAGUAGAGGACUGCUUCUCCUCUGCCUGGGGCCGCGCAUGCUCAGGCUGCACCUCUUUGGUGGCGAAGCACCGAACUGCAUUCCCCAGCAGAAGGCCAGAGUGAGAAAGGGCCUGUGUUUGAUGUAUGAGCUUUGGCUUGCCAUAGUGAGUCACCCCAGAACUAGCUGCAGGCAAAACAAAAAUCUUUUGUGAUUAAUUAGAAAAACUGGACGAUUAUGAAUUGACUGCACACAGCCGGGGCAUAGUAAUAUAAAUAGUAAUGACUCCGGCGCGCCUGAUGAACACUCGUGUUUAUAUGAGAUCACUGGAGAAAGGCAAAAUUUUAACAUGGAAUCUGCUGAAAUAGGAUGACUUUUGAUCUUGGACAAUUUGAGGGUCUUGACUGAGAUUUCUAUUGAUGCCUUCCAAAGGGGUUCAUUUGACCUUUCCCCUUCCCACCCAUCCAAAUUCCACUAACGCAGUCUUUACUUCCUUUUGUUUUUAAAAAAGAUUGAACCCAAACAUCCCUUUCAGAAGCUCUAUGGAAUCCCUCCCGU